rnacentral:rRNA from 1 species
UAGCGAAGGGGGCUAGCGUUGCUCGGAAUCACUGGGCGUAAAGCGCACGUAGGCGGGUCCUUAAGUCAGGGGUGAAAUCCUGGAGCUCAACUCCAGAACUGCCCUUGAUACUGAGGAUCUCGAGUUCGGGAGAGGUGAGUGGAACUGCGAGUGUAGAGGUGAAAAUUCGUAGAUAUUCGCAAGAACACCAGUGGCGAAGGCGGCUCACUGGCCCGAUACUGACGCUGAGGUGCGAAAGCGUGGGAGCAACAGGG